rnacentral:rRNA from 1 species
GCCAGGGGGGCAGCUACACAUGCAGUCGAGCGAGAACUUCGGUUCUAGCGGCGGACGGGUUAGUAACGCGUGGGAACGUGCCCUUCACUACGGAAUAGUCCCGGGAAACUGGGUUUAAUACCGUAUACGCCCUUCGGGGGAAAGAAUUUCGGUGAAGGAUCGGCCCGCGUUAGAUUAGAUAGUUGGUGGGGUAACGGCCUACCAAGUCUACGAUCUAUAGCUGGUUUUAGAGGAUGAUCAGCAACACUGGGACUGAGACACGGCCCAGACUCCUACGGGAGGCAGCAGUGGGGAAUCUUAGACAAUGGGCGCAAGCCUGAUCUAGCCAUGCCGCGUGAGUGAUGAAGGCCUUAGGGUCGUAAAGCUCUUUCGCCAGGGAUGAUAAUGACAGUACCUGGUAAAGAAACCCCGGCUAACUCCGUGCCAGCAGCCGCGGUAAUACGGAGGGGGUUAGCGUUGUUCGGAAUUACUGGGCGUAAAGCGCGCGUAGGCGGAUUGGAAAGUUGGGGGUGAAAUCCCAGGGCUCAACCCUGGAACUGCCUCCAAAACUAUCAGUCUAGAGUUCGAGAGAGGUGAGUGGAACUCCGAGUGUAGAGGUGAAAUUCGUAGAUAUUCGGAAGAACACCAGUGGCGAAGGCGGCUCACUGGCUCGAUACUGACGCUGAGGUGCGAAAGUGUGGGGAGCAAACAGGAUUAGAUACCCUGGUAGU